GAUGAACGCUAGCGGCAGGCUUAACACAUGCAAGUCGAGGGGUAGAGGCUUUCGGGCCUUGAGACCGGCGCACGGGUGCGUAACGCGUAUGCAAUCUGCCUUGUACUGGGGGAUAGCCCAGAGAAAUUUGGAUUAAUACCCCAUAGUAUUUUCGGUUGGCAUCAACUGAUUAUUAAAGUUUUUCGGUACAAGAUGAGCAUGCGUCCCAUUAGCUAGUUGGUAUGGUAACGGCAUACCAAGGCUACGAUGGGUAGGGGUCCUGAGAGGGAGAUCCCCCACACUGGUACUGAGACACGGACCAGACUCCUACGGGAGGCAGCAGUGAGGAAUAUUGGUCAAUGGUCGCAAGACUGAACCAGCCAUGCCGCGUGCAGGAUGAAGCAUCUAUGGUGUGUAAACUGCUUUUGUACGGGAAGAAACACUCCUACGUGUAGGGGCUUGACGGUACCGUAAGAAUAAGGAUCGGCUAACUCCGUGCCAGCCGCCGCGGUAA
rnacentral:rRNA from 1 species